GUCCGUGUAACAACUAAAAAGAGUCCGUGUAUCAUCUAAAAAGAGUCCGUGUAACACCCGUUAAUGUACUGUUUUUCUAUAGCUUUGCGGGCGGCAAAGUCGUACAAAUUGCAUUAUACUUGCCCGUUCGGUAAAUUAUCAUUAUCUUUUUACCAAUGAUUUAGUUUUUGGUAUAAAAAAAAAUCUAAAAUAUAGAAAAAAAACAUAACGC
rnacentral:lncRNA from 1 species